rnacentral:rRNA from 1 species
CAUAGGUUUAGGGCACUGGAAGGUCCCUAAACCGAAAGGGGCUCUGCCCGCCCGAGGAUGGGCCGGCGGCCGAUUAGGUAGUUGGUGGGGUAACGGCCCACCAAGCCCAUAAUCGGUACGGGCAGUGAGAGCUGGAGCCCGGAGAUGGACACUGAGACACGGGUCCAGGCCCUACGGGGCGCAGCAGGCGCGAAACCUCCGCAAUGCUCGAAAGAGCGACGGGGGGACCCCAAGUGCCGUGGUACAACCACGGCUUUUCCGGAGUGUAAGAAGCUCCGGGAAUAAGGGCUGGGCAAGGCCGGUGGCAGCCGCCGCGGUAAUACCGGCGGCCCGAGUGGUGGCCACUAUUAUUGGGCCUAAAGCGUCCGUAGCCGGGCUUGUAAGUCCCUGGCGAAAUCCCACGGCUCAACCGUGGGGCUUGCUGGGGAUACUGCAAGCCUUGGGACCGGGAGAGGCCGGGGGUACUCCUGGGGUAGGGGUGAAAUCCUAUAAUCCCAGGAGGACCGCCAGUGGCGAAGGCGCCCGGCUGGAACGGGUCCGACGGUGAGGGACGAAGGCCAGGGGAGCAAACCGGAUUAGAUACCCGGGUAGUCCUGGCUGUAAAGGAUGCGGGCUAGGUGUUGCUUGGACCUCGAGUCCAAGCAGUGCCGCAG